UCAGAGUCAUACAUGCCUGCACUUCAAGUACUCAAGAGAAGAAGCAGGAGUUUGAGGGCAGCCUGGGUUAUAUAACAAGAACAAAAACUAAGCCAAACCAACCAAACCAAACCAAAACAGUAGGUCAGCUUAAGAAAAUCAGGAAAUGUAUCAACCCAGAGUCAUGAACUAUUUUCUACACGACACUUCAGCCAAACUCGCACCCAGACUCCAGAGCUUCUGUCACAGCUGUGGUGGCAGCAGUACACUGGCUCCCAUGCCACAGUGGCGUCAUGGCACAGGUCCUUGCUCACUCCCCACAAGCGUGAAGGCCAAGCUUCACUUGAAUGGAUUCAGAGGCCUUGCAAGGUGGCGCACGCCUGUAAUCCCAACACUUGAGGAGGCAGAAGCAAGCAGAUUGUUCAACGCCAGCCUGGUCUACAAGCAAGUCCAGGACAGCCAAGGCUACACAGAGAAACCCUGUCUUGAAGAAGAAAAAAACAAACCUCAAAAAUGAACUUAGAGUAUACUAAAGAGAGAAAGAAGACCAAAUAGCCUGAACUUGUAAGUGGAAGGGAAAGGGCUGUGUAGGUCCAAGUGAGAGGGUUUAGAAUUGACAUUGAAACCACCGGAAAGCUAAUUAAUACAUUAAGCAGGUGCUGAGAUGAUAUAGCCUACAUAUUUACAAGUCCUCAUCCCAUAGUGUUUGGGGUACAGAGAUUCCUUAGCGGCUUCAGGGGGAGAAAACAGUUGUAAUAAAUAAAUAGUUGGAGAAAAUAUGAUGGCCUAAAGUGUUAAAUGGAAGCAGAGAUUGGAAAAGGUAUGAAAAAUUCUUUCAUGUUUGAAAGGCUAUGAGAGAUACAGUCAAGAAGACAGUCAAGGUUCCAGCAUUAACAGGGUAAAGACUAUGCUAGCUGCCAAGAAGAAAGCCUAAGGGAAGAGCAGUUCUGGGCAGAGAUGCUGAGGUUAGUCUUUGAAUCACCAGUGAGCCACCCAGUUCGAUGUCUUAAGUAAUAUGAGUAUGAACACAAAACAAAAAGCUAGCCUACAGUUGCACAGAAAGUUCUCCAAAGUAUAGGUUAAUAAGAGAAGUCACAAGAGAUGAAUCAACCACCCACUGCAUGCUGGGAGUUCUGGAAGGCUUUCAGGCUCAUGUGUUUGCAGUGUUCCAGAGACCCACAUUCUAAUAAAAACAAUGAUGCAUGCUCUGACUCAGCUGACAUGAAAACUACAUUGGAAAUUCCUAUUGCCUAUACUCGGCUUUCUUUUCUGCCAUCUGCAGAUUGAUCUGACUAUUACACAUCAAAUUAAAAAUCCGUCUAAAAAUUAA